AAUGGCGUGAUCUCGGCUCACCGCGACCUCCGCCUCCUGGGUUCAGACAAUUCUCCUGCCUCAGCCUCCUGAGUAGCUGGGAUUACAGGCAUGCGCCACCAUGCCCAGCUAAUUUUUUGUAUUUUUAGUAGAGACGGAGUUUCACCAUGUUUACCAGGAUGGUCUCGAUCUCUUGACCUCCUGAUCCACCCGCCUCGGCCUCCCAAAGUGCUGGGAUUACAGGCGUGAGCCACCGUGCCCGGCCACCAUGCUAAGCUUUCUAUCUAUGUGGCCGGCCCUCCUGGGAAUCCUUCCACUGGCUGACACCUUGUGAUGCCUCUGUUCUUACCAGGAUGCUCUCUGUGUACCUCUGGAAGGUUUAUCCCUUCUGCCACGUUCUGAAAUCUUAAGCAAAAUACCACACUCGCCUACAGCGAGCAGGGUCCCUAGUGGCUUCCCCACAUGGCUGUUCUAUUCCAGGCAGUGAAAUGGGCUGCGUCCGGCACCCUGCAAGUGAAGCGGCAUCGUUUGUCUGGGGUAAUACUUGAGAUUGGUUGUCUCACACCAAGGACAUCGAAGACGCAGACAAACAAAGAGUGGGUUUAAAAGCGAGAAGUUUAACAGGCCAAAGAAUAAAGCCCCACCGUGCAGAGAGAGGGGGUUUCUGAACGGGUUUCCCCGGUUUGGGGCAAGAUGUGGUUGGUUUUACAGAUGAGCUUGAAGAGGCGGUGUCUGAUUUGCAUAGGGUGUAUUGGAUUGGUUGGACCGGGUGUGCCAUUUACACAGGGCACGAGGAGGCUGGCCGUCCCGCCCUAAUAUUUUAUUAUGUAAAUGAGUCUUUACCUGGCCAGCACCCCCGUUGCCUGCACACGUGGUGACGAAAAGGGAAGAGGAAAACCCCCGUCCUCUUUGAAUCUGCCUGGCUUGCAGCUCCUGUGUCACAAAGCCACUUUUCUGGGAAGAGCUGCCUGCCAGUUCCCGACAGAACGGCAUCAAGUGCGUCAUGCUUAAUGAACCCGAGGCCUGGCUUACUAUUCGGCUUCUUGGAAUCAAGGAUGAAGCAGAGCACAGAAGCCUCUCUUCCUGCCCAGGGAGGACACGCAGGAGUGUCACAGGACCAGAUGCAACACAGAGCAUGAGGAAAGGAUGUGCCUUUGUUUUUCUCUCACCUUCUGCCAUGAUUGUGAGGCCUCCCCAGCCAUGUGAAACUGAAAUUGGCUUUUCGGAGGAGACUACAAGGGGCAAAGUAUUGGUCCUGGUGCCCUCUGGUGGCUGAAUUGCAAUUUCCUCACCUCCCCCAGGAACUGCCCCACUGGCUGGAGAGAACCGUGACUGUGGGUGGCUCCACUGUUCGAGUGGCUUCAGAUCGGUCUGCAGUUGGUUAGGUUAUGUCACCAAAUCUCUAGUUAUAAGAUUAGGCAUUUUUUUCCUUGUGUAAUUUCCAAUCAGAAAUUGGUUCAAUGGUCUGGUUAGUAUCUUGGUCUGUCUAGAAGAUGAAACAAUCUUACUUGCCAUACUUUGUAACCUGAAAUUUUUGUACUCAACAUUUGCCAAAAGAUUGAGGGGGCGGAGGUACAGGGGAUGUGUUUCCAGACACAUUCAUAUCUCUGGCUCUCAAGAGAAAUAUGACUCUCCUGUUGUAAGGCACACACAAUGAAGUAAAGUCGAAUUAAAGUAA